rnacentral:rRNA from 1 species
UGGUGGAGUGAUUUGUCUGGUUAAUUCCGUUAACGAACGAGACCUUAGCCUGCUAACUAGUCGACCCAAUCUGUAUUGGGACCCGACUUCUUAGAGGGACUUUGUGGCUAUAAACGCAAGGAAGUUUGAGGCAAUAACA